AAAUAUAUAUUAUAUUAAAAAUAAUAGGUAUGUUAUUAUAUAUAUAUAUAUAUAUAUAUAUAUAUAUAUAUAUAUAUAUAUAUGAAAAAAGAAACCGAAAAAACCUAUCAGACACACCUAAAUACAUACCUAUAUAAAUACACACCAAGAAAUUUUGAUAGAGCGAUAACGUUUUAGAAUGCGUAUAUAUGAAAUGUACGUAAUUAAAAAAAAUAAAUAAAUAACGCGACCGUUAAUUCGACAAACCGUACGAAUGGACGUUGAAAAAUAAAAAUAAAAAUAAAAAUAAAAAUAAAAAUAAAAAUAAAAAUAACCGAGGCCGAAUACGCGCUGGUGAUUCUUUUAACGAAAAAAAAAAGGAAAAAAAAAGAAAAAAGAAGAAUAAAGAUGAGAAAGAGGAAAGGAAAGCGAGGAGAUAUUAAACAAAAAAAAGAAAAAAAAAAAAGAAAAAAAAAAAAAAGAAACGAGAAAAGAAAGAUAAACAGACAUGCGUAUGCAAAGAAGAGACAUGCGUAUCCAUUCACAUACACAGGAUAACGGAGGUGAGGCCGCGUUUUUAUUACUAUUCUACCGCUGAUUAUCUUAAAGCUAAACUAAUAAUUAUAAAUAUUAUCUUGUACGUAACGUUUAACGAUUAAGCUUGCGCAUGCGAGUUCGUGAAGACGAUGUUACUUCUCAGACGAUGAAAAUAUCUCUCCGCGCAUAGCGAAACGCGCAUACCGCAAUCCAUAAAAACAGAAAGAAAGAAAGAAAGAAAGAAAGAAAGAAAGAAAGGAAGGAAGGAAGAUAGAAAAAGAUAGAAAGAUAAAAAAGAAAAGAGAGAAAUAGAUAGAUACGUAGAAAGAUUCAAACACAUAGGCUGGACAUAUGCGUAUGUAAAUAAAUGAAUAAAAAGAAAUAAAAAGAAACCAUACAUACAAAGAAAGAGAGAGAGAGAGAGAGAGAGAGAGAGAGAGAGAGCGGAAGAGAAAAAUGUAAAAUAUGCGCGUAUUGAAAAUAUGCAUGGGCGUCGACUAAAUUGGAUUUCUCGAUUGGAAAUUCGUUCGAGCUAAUCUAUCCUUCUUCUAAUUCUUACUUUUUCUCUACGUUUUACGUAACAUCACAUGAACGAGUGAAAGCUGUGUCGUGACGUGAAGAAAAAGAAAAAGAAAAGGAAGAAGAAGAAGAAGAAAAAGAAGAAGAAAAAGAAAAAAAAAAGAGAGAGAAAAAAAAAAGAUAAAAGAAAAAGGUUCGAACGAAUUCUACGAGAAAUCCUUGAGGCCGAUCAUGGCGUUCCUCUUCUUUCGCGCAUCCUCAACGCACAUAAAUAAACCAAUUACUAUUGUACGUAGUCGUAUAUCGGUUCCGCACAAGCCACCACCACUAUCAAGUCACCCUUGAUUAUAAAACAUUCAUCCCUCUUUAAAUUGGCUCGAGCCGAUAUUAAGAGGAUAUGGCGCUUUUUCUUUUUUUUUUUUAGAUAUUUCGGUUAUUUAUUUCACAUAAGGCCGCUACAUAUUAGAAUCCUUUCGUUUCUUCCGUCGUACCGUCA